rnacentral:rRNA from 1 species
AUGCUGGAGAUAUCAGAAGUGCGAAUGCUGACGUAAGUAACGAUAAAGGGGGUGAAAAGCCUCCUCGCCGGAAGACCAAGGGUUCCUGUCCAACGUUAAUCGGGGCAGGGUGAGUCGACCCCUAAGGCGAGGCCGAAAGGCGUAGUCGAUGGGAAGCAGGUUAAUAUUCCUGCACGACUUGUAAUUGCGAUGGGGGGACGGAGAAGGCUAGGUGGGCCAGGCGACGGUUGUCCUGGUGAAAGUGCGUAGGUGGUGUUUCUAGGCAAAUCCGGAGACACAACACUGAGACACGAGACGAACACACUACGGUGUGGAAGCCAUUGAUGCCCUGCUUCCAGGAAAAGCCUCUAAGCUUCAGAUUACAAGUCAUCGUACCCCAAACCGACACAGGUGGUCGGGUAGAGAAUACCAAGGCGCUUGAGAGAACUCGGGUGAAGGAACUAGGCAAAAUAGAACCGUAACUUCGGGAGAAGGUUCGCUCUUGACAGUGAAGUCCCUUGCGGAUGGAGCAGUUGGGAGUCGCAGUGACCAGAUGGCUGGGACUGUUUAUCAAAAACACAGCACUCUGCAAACACGAAAGUGGACGUAUAGGGUGUGACACCUGCCCGGUGCCGGAAGGUUAAUUGAUGGGGUUAGCGCAAGCGAAGCUCUUGAUCGAAGCCCCGGUAAACGGCGGCCGUAACUAUAACGGUCCUAAGGUAGCGAAAUUCCUUGUCGGGUAAGUUCCGACCUGCACGAAUGGUGUAACCAUGGCCAUGCUGUCUCCACCCGAGACUCAGUGAAAUCGAAUUCGCCGUGAAGAUGCGGUGUACCCGCGGCUAGACGGAAAGACCCCGUGAACCUUUACUACAGCUUGGCACUGAACAUUGAACCUACAUGUGUAGGAUAGGUGGGAGGCUUUGAAGGCGUGACGCCAGUUGCGCUGGAGCCGUCCUUGAAAUACCACCCUUGUAUGUUUGAUGUUCUAACGCAGGCCCGUGAAUCCGGGUCGCGGACAGUGCCUGGUGGGUAGUUUGACUGGGGCGGUCUCCUCCCAAAGAGUAACGGAGGAGCACGAAGGUUGGCUAAUCCUGGUCGGACAUCAGGAGGUUAGUGCAAUGGCAUAAGCCAGCUUAACUGCGAGACGGACAGGUCGAGCAGGUACGAAAGUAGGUCAUAGUGAUCCGGUGGUUCUGAAUGGAAGGGCCAUCGCUCAACGGAUAAAAGGUACUCCGGGGAUAACAGGCUGAUACCGCCCAAGAGUUCAUAUCGACGGCGGUGUUUGGCACCUCGAUGUCGGCUCAUCACAUCCUGGGGCUGAAGUCGGUCCCAAGGGUAUGGCUGUUCGCCAUUUAAAGUGGUACGCGAGCUGGGUUCAGAACGUCGUGAGACAGUUCGGUCCCUAUCUGCCGUGGGCGUUGGAUGAUUGAAGGGAGUUGCUCCUAGUACGAGAGGACCGGAGUGAACGAACCUCUGGUGUUCGGGUUGUCACGCCAGUGGCACUGCCCGGUAGCUAAGUUCGGAAUCGAUAACCGCUGAAAGCAUCUAAGCGGGAAGCGAGCCCUGAGAUGAGUCAUCCCUGACCCCUUGAGGGUCCUAAAGGGCCGUUGGAGACCACAACGUUGAUAGGUGGGGUGUGUAAGCGCGGCGACGUGUUGAGCUAACCCAUACUAAUUACCCGUGAGGCUUAACCAUACAACACCCAAGAAGUGUU